rnacentral:rRNA from 1 species
AACGAACGCUGGCGGCAGGCCUAACACAUGCAAGUCGAACGCAUCGCAAGAUGAGUGGCGCACGGGUGAGUAACACGUGGGAAUGUAUCCUUUGGUUCGGAAUAACGUCUGGAAACGGACGCUAAUACCGGAUGAGCCCUAUGGGGGAAAGAUUUAUCGCCGAAGGAGCGGCCCGCGUCUGAUUAGGUAGUUGGUGGGGUAAAGGCCUACCAAGCCGACGAUCAGUAGCUGGUCUGAGAGGAUGAUCAGCCACACUGGGACUGAGACACGGCCCAGACUCCUACGGGAGGCAGCAGUGGGGAAUAUUGGACAAUGGGCGCAAGCCUGAUCCAGCCAUGCCGCGUGAGUGAUGAAGGCCUUCGGGUUGUAAAGCUCUUUCGCACACGACGAUGAUGACGGUAGUGUGAGAAGAAGCCCCGGCUAACUUCGUGCCAGCAGCCGCUGUAACAC